GUAAAGACAUAACAUAAACAAAAAACAUGAACAUGUGACAUAAAUCUUGAAUAUAUUAUUUAUGCUGUUCAGUUGCUGGGGAUAGAACUGAUCUUACAGCUGUUGUUAGUAAGGCAAGUGUUGGCAGUCUGGAAUUACUAAGAAUAUAUGCGCUUAGAAAUCCCGUUGAAUAUCUCAAUUGGAUGAAAGAGCAGUAAUGGCU